rnacentral:rRNA from 1 species
ACGGGUGAGUAACGCGUAAAGAACUUGCCCUGCAGACAGGGAUAACAGACGGAAACGACUGAUAAUACCUGAUACAAUUGCCAGCACGCAUGUGCCCGGCAAUGAAAAGUGAUGCUGCAGGAGAGCUUUGCGUCCUAUUAGCUUGUUGGUGAGGUAACGGCUCACCAAGGCGAUGAUAGGUAGCCGGCCUGAGAGGGUGAACGGCCACAAGGGGACUGAGAUACGGCCCUUACUCCUACGGGAGGCAGCAGUGGGGAAUAUUGGACAAUGGGGGAAACCCUGAUCCAGCAAUUCUGUGUGCACGAAGAAGGUUUUCGGAUUGUAAAGUGCUUUCAGCAGGGAAGAAGAAAGUGACGGUACCUGCAGAAGAAGCGACGGCUAAAUACGUGCCAGCAGCCGCGGUAAUACGUAUGUCGCAAGCGUUAUCCGGAAUUAUUGGGCAUAAAGGGCAUCUAGGCGGCCAGACAAGUCUGGGGUGAAAACUUGCGGCUCAACCGCAAGCCUGCCCUGGAAACUGUUUGGCUAGAGUGCUGGAGAGGUGGACGGAACUGCACGAGUAGAGGUGAAAUUCGUAGAUAUGUGCAGGAAUGCCGAUGAUGAAGAUAGUUCACUGGACGGUAACUGACGCUGAAGUGCGAAAGCUGGGGGAGCAAACAGGAUUAGAUACCCUGGUAGUCCC